rnacentral:rRNA from 1 species
GAUGAACGCUGGCGGCGUGCUUAACACAUGCAAGUCGAACGGGUGAAGGUAAAUGCUUGCAUUUACCGGAGCUAGUGGCGGACGGGUGAGUAACGCGUGGGCAACCUGCCCUAUGGAGGGGGAUAACAAUGAGAAAUCAUUGCUAAUACCGCAUAAGCUUACAGUAAAGCAUUUUAGAGUGAGAAAAGAUUUAUCGCCAUAGGAUGGGCCCGCGUCUGAUUAGCUAGUUGGUGUGGUAACGGCAUACCAAGGCAACGAUCAGUAGCCGACCUGAGAGGGUGAACGGCCACAUUGGGACUGAGACACGGCCCAAACUCCUACGGGAGGCAGCAGUGGGGAAUAUUGCACAAUGGGGGAAACCCUGAUGCAGCGACGCCGCGUGAGUGAAGACGGUCUUCGGAUUGUAAAGCUCUGUUGUGGGGGACGAUAAUGACGGUACCCCAUCAGAAAGCCACGGCUAACUACGUGCCAGCAGCCGCC